rnacentral:tRNA from 1 species
GCCUUAGCUCAAUGGUAGAGCAUUCGGCUGUAGACCGAGUGGUUCCAGGUUCAAAUCCCGGAGGCGGGACCA